AUUGAACGCUGGCGGCAGGCCUAACACAUGCAAGUCGAGCGAGCGGCGGCCGGGUGAGUAAUGUCUGGGAAACUGCCUGCUGGAGGGGGAUAACUCCUGGAAACGGUAGCUAAUACCGCAUACCAUCAGAUGUGCCCAGAUGGGAUUAGCUCGUAGGGGGGGUAACGCCUCACAUAGGCGACGCUCCCUAGCUGGUCUGAGAGGAUGACCAGCCACACUGGAACUGAGACACGGUCCAGACUCCUACGGUAGGCAGCAGUGGGGAAUAUUGCACAAUGGGCGCAAGCCUGAUGCAGCCAUGCCGCGUGUGUGAAGAAGGCCUUCGGGUUGUAAAGCACUUUCAGCGGGGAGGCGUUACCCGCAGAAGAAGCACCGGCUAACUCCGUGCCAGCAGCCGCGGUAAUUC
rnacentral:rRNA from 1 species